ensembl:lncRNA
GACUGAAAGCUAUGUUUUUCGAAAGUUUUUCAGAAGUUAAACCUUUAUGUGACUCUGACUGGUGAAUCCCGAAAUUCAUCAUGAUGCCAGCAUGAAUAUUUUAAUGAUGUAUAUCCAUUAACCUGAUUUUAAAAUCCAAUUAGUCGUUAGUCACACUGUGGAAUAAUAAUGAACUGCGGUCUGUUGUGACAAAUUUCCACUGUGACCCUGUGACAGCUUGUCAAUUUACAACUGAUUUCACAUCUGAAGAGACAAAAUUAAUGGAAAUAAAAAAGUGAAAAUUAUGCAUACUUACUUUGUAUUAACAAUGUAAUUCCAGCCUGGUGAUUCAGUUAUACAAUCCCCUGUAAUAUUUGAGAUAUUCGACAAAGAGCAUAUUAUCAUGAACUCUUUUUGUAUAAGCAUGUAUUCUGUUCAAAAAGGAGACUGCCCAUAUAGGCAAAAUGUUUAAUCAUGUUCCUAACUUUGGGGGGUGGGGGCCCUGAAGAAGCAUAUAACAGUAUUAGCGAGCUUUUGUUAUUAGUACAAGUGAAAUUGAAUCCUUUUCCCAGGAAUUUCAAAGAUAUAAUUGGGACAGUUAAACAAAGACAGUGACUACAUUUUUAACUGGAAGGAGCUGAAUAACAUUAGGUCCUGAAUGAGACAUUGUUAGAUAGUUGAUGCAGUGCCAGUAAUAUAAAUUGUUCUAUUUCAAUAUUUAUUAAUAAUUUCAGAAGUGUCAUACAUUGACAGAGCUUAUAAUAUCUACCCAAGAACACAUGGACUUGUGUAAUAAUGAAACUAUAAAAUGCUAUAGAUUCCAUUUAUAAUGGAAAAAUGAAGACAUUCAAAAUUUACCACCUCUGAAACCUCGAAGCAUAACUUUAGAAAUCACACAUUUUUAUACUUCUUUAUUUAACAUACACAGUUGUUCAAAAGUUUAGCUAUUAUAAUAUGCCAUGCUUCUGCCUUUUCAGUAUGAACCAUAAUGCCAACAUUAGUCUGUUUUGACCAUAAGUGUGCUAGUAAAAUUUUUAAUACUUGGAAUUCCAGCAUUAUAUAUGUCAUAUAUAAGCUCAUACUGUCUAAUAUUCAAAAGUAAGAGAUUCCUAUAUGUACUACAUACAGUAUAAAGCAUAUAUAUCGAGCGUAUGUACAUAGAUAUACUGUAGAUUGCAGCUUCUCAGUGAAUAUGAAAUGAACACUUCAACAAGAAAUGCUGAAAUGGUCAUUAUUAACUUUAUGCAUUUAAUAUGAAAUAAGCAUACAAAUAAACACAAUAAGAAUUGUUUUAAAAUAGUGGUUGCUCCAAUAUAUACACAACUGAGGAAAACAGUAUAGUUGGGAUGUCAUGAUUAACUGCUGUAUGGAACAAUUGAAAUAGGAACAAAAAAUAAAAUAAGGAUGUCAUAAGGUUCUCCAACCCUAGCUUUAGCCGUCCUGGUGACAUCCAGCUGAAACAGUGCAAUGUGUUGGUGUAAACCCUGCUGCUCUGUGUGGGAAUGCCCCUCAAAUAUAAUGGAUAAAUGUAAUACCUCGUUUUCCUUAAAACAUCAUUCAAAGCAGUUACAGUAGAUAUAUACCUGAGUGGACAAAGCACCUGUGUUCCUGUAUGCACAGCGAUAUAUUGUGAAGUUGACGUUUGCAGUUAGUCACUUGGUGAAAUCAUUCUCGCAAAUAAGAAAUCAGCUGCAGUUUAUUUUCAUUAUGACUCACUUUACAUCUGAUUUCGCAUCCAAAAGUCUCUUACAACAAAAUUACUCUUAAAACAAUCCAGUAUAUCAAUAAUUGUUGAAUCCCAACCUGAUGAAAUUGGCACUGCCCCAAAACGUAUUUGGUCCUUUUUUUCAUUCCACACAACGCCUCCUUCACUUCAAUUCUUGCAUCCGAUGCCAACAACAGUUGCCUAGCAACUCUAUAUUUGCCUGGACAAAUCCUACUCCAGUAUUUAUUUUUGAUGCACAACAAGACCCCUGCUUGUGAAUUUGCACAGAAACUGUUUCUAAGAACAAACAUAAAAAAACACUGCAGGAAACCUGUGUGUGUGUGUGUGUGUGUGUGUGUGUGUGUGUGUGUGUGUGUGUGUGUCUAUUUGUUUGCAUGUGGGGGGUGGGGGAAUGUCAUUAGAAGUGGGUCAUCCGCGUUCUACUAAACCACAGACAGAGACACAUCCUUGUCUCAAGAAAUAAGGGCACAAGUUCCAAGGGGCAAGGCUUUAUUCACAAAAGGGGUAUGGUGCCCCAUUUGAGAGAGUCACCUUGGACACCUCCCUCAUUAGCUGGGGGGCAGGUGUGAAGCCCCAAUUUGAGAGCAGAGCACAUCAACCAACUGAGACUGAGGGUGGUCGACUGAGCGUGGUCGACUGAGGGUGGUCGAGCCCUCAAAUUCCCAUUACCAACUCUGAGACACCGCCAUGCACUUGUUAGGUUUACUCAACGUCAUCACAGUCUAAUACCUCAAUCAACAUGGUGGCACAAGGUCAGAUUGUGCUCUCAGCGUUGCAUGGAAUCUCUUCAAUGGUUAGCCUUAUGGGAAGCAACUUGCUAUGAUGCACUGUCAAGACAGAGAAUAUGCCUUGGAGAGUGCCGUCUCUACCAGAAGUUGUGUCCUAGAUCUGGAAAAAGUUGGGCAAAGCAAACAUGAACCUCUUUGCUAAUGAGCUUGACUUACUGUUCACUGUUGUUCACACUAGGUCAGGAUACACUGGCUCAUGACUGGCAUCAUUGUCUACUGUAAGCAUUUCUGCCUAUAUUGCUUAUUGUACCCACUUCACACAGAAUCCAUUGAUUAACACAGAGUCCUGCUUGCUCUCACUAGUGGGUAGGAUGCCUUGGGAUGCCAAGUGGACUUAUUUUGCAUGCUUAGCCAGGAAACCUGUGUCAGUGGGAUUUGGUCCCAUUGAGUGAAAUGCAGGUUGAGGACUCAUACGUCCAAAAGACACUCCUGAAUGCAAGUACACAAGUGGUCUCAGGUGGAAACUGUUUCAAAAAUGUUGUGUGCUAUAUCAUCUGGAUCCAGUGCACUACAAUGUUCCUACAUCAGACUUCCUACACAGACUGUUAGACAGUGGACUAGCUUAUCUGAAGGGAGCAAGGCACCUUUGUCUGCCAUGCUCCCUCAAGAGCCUGACAUGGGAUCACCAUUGUACUCUAAAGGCUGUUUUUUUUUGCUAUCAAUCACUUCAGCAAAUAGAUUGGGAGAACUACACGCUUGUCAAUAAGCUCACCCUGCAUGCAUCUGUGGCCAGAUGAUUCCAGAGUGAACCCCGGGUUUUUGCCCAACAUUAUAUGUCAUACAUCAAGUUUGUGGCCACCUGACCAUCACACCCAUAUGUGGGCCAUCACCAAACUGUUGGACGCACACAAUUGUGAAAAAAUGUCUUUGUAUGCUGUAGCAUUACAAUUUCCCUUCACUGGAACUGUUCCAGCAUGACUAUACCUAUGUGCAGAAAGUGAGCUCUAUGAAGUCAUGGUAUACCAAGGCUGGAGGUGAAGAACUUGAGUGCCCUGAUCUCAACCCCACUGAACACCUUUUGAGAUGAACUGGAACACUGGCUGCAUCCCAAGCCCCCUCGAACAACAUCAGUGUUUAACCUCACCUGCGGCUGAAUGGUCAAAAUCUAGUGGAAAGCGUUCCCAGAAAAGUCGAGGUUAUUAUAACAGCAAAGAGGGGCCUUAAGUUGGAAUGGGACGUUCAAAAACCACAUCUGGGUGUGACGGACAGGUGUCGACAAACCUUCGGUCAUACAGGGUAGCCCGCAUUUUUGUUAACCAAUCUAUUGACCUUUACGCAUUCCAUGAUGGGGAGCCUGCUGAGUGUUCCUUUCUAUGCCCAGUAGGCACUCUACAGUACCAGACAGUGGCGAUUCAAUCAUCAGAUCAAUCAUUCAUUUGUCAUGGAGGAAAGACACAGGAAGCGCAUCUGUCUACACAUAGAUAGGAUCACUGGCCG